rnacentral:rRNA from 1 species
AGUGAACGCUGGCGGUAGGCCUAACACAUGCAAGUCGAACGGCAGCACAGUAAGAGCUUGCUCUUACGGGUGGCGAGUGGCGGACGGGUGAGGAAUACAUCGGAAUCUACUUUUUCGUGGGGGAUAACGUAGGGAAACUUACGCUAAUACCGCAUACGACCUACGGGUGAAAGCAGGGGAUCUUCGGACCUUGCGCGAUUGAAUGAGCCGAUGUCGGAUUAGCUAGUUGGCGGGGUAAAGGCCCACCAAGGCGACGAUCCGUAGCUGGUCUGAGAGGAUGAUCAGCCACACUGGAACUGAGACACGGUCCAGACUCCUACGGGAGGCAGCAGUGGGGAAUAUUGGACAACGGGCGCAAGCCUGAUCCAGCCAUACCGCGUGGGUGAAGAAGGCCUUCGGGUUGUAAAGCCCUUUUGUUGGGAAAGAAAAGCAGCAGGUUAAUACCCCGCUGUUCUGACGGUACCCAAGGAAUAAGCACCGGCUAACUUCGUG